GACGCGCGGCUGUGGCGGUUACCCGCUGGGCGUCUUGGCUGUCCGCGUGCCUGUUGCUCUUGCGUCCUGAAGGCGCAGAUGGAGUCGCGGUCGUGCUGUGCGGACGGUCUGGAAGGGUCCCCAGGGUGCGAGCAGCUGGGCGAGAGCAGAGGUGACUCGGUCUCCUCCCGGAACGGCCCCGCGUUGCCGUCUGUUUGCUUUUUGAGGGCCCAGCCGCCCUGCUCUAGACGUCAGAGACUGUUGAUGGGAGGAAGGAGAGCGAAAGCGCGUGUCUGUUUCCUGGUCUAGGAGGCCCGUUUCGGGUUCCUCGCAUUGGUUGUGAUAUUAGUGGUCUGUGGGUUUUUCAUGAAAGAGCCUUGUCAGGCUGAGGUGUACAUUCCGUUCCUGAUGUGAUGAUUUGUGUUUUAGUAUCGCAGACGUCAUGGAAGUUUUUGUGAACUAGGUUUUCUGUGUCUAUCGGGAUACUUUGUGGGCUUCCCCCAUGUGUAUUCUGUUCCGGGAAUGAUUGCUUUUGUAGGGUAGCCACCCUUGCAUUUCCGGAGUAACUGUCAGCUGCGCACAGUGUGCUAAGCUUUGGUUGUGCUUCUGGAUGUCGUCUGGUAAUAUUUUGUUGAGGCAUGUGACACAUUCGUGACGGGUAUGUGUGUGCCAUUUUCCUUAUGAUGUGCUUGUGUUGGAUGUUGGGAUAAGGCUGGCCUGAUGGAAUGAAAUGGAAGGAUUUUCCUCUUCAUCUCCUUUUGGAAGGGUUUGCGAAUCACGGAUUUUAAUUAUCUUUUCCAUGGGAGUUCUCACCGGUGGAGCCAUCUGGUCCUGGACUUUUCUUCAUGUCUGUUUGGUUUGUUUGAUUUGGUUUCCCUGCUACUACAGUCUCUUUGCACAUGGCUGGCUCGUUUAGGAUGUCUAUACCACUUUACAUUCCCACCAGCAGUGGAUGAGGGUGCCUUUUCCCCCACAUCCUAAGGCUAUUGUAGUAUUGAUUUGUAUUUCCCUGACGGCUAGUGAUCCUGAUCAGUUUUGCCUGUGUGUGUUGGCCAUUUAUAUUUCCUUUACUGAAAUAUUCCUGUUGAAGUCCUUUGCCCUUUUUUUUGAGUGGGUGGUUUGUUUUGCUGUUGUUGAGUUUCUUGAAAGUUUCUGGUAGUUGAUCCUUUAUCAGUUGCAUGCUUUGCAGAUAAUUUCUCCCUUUCUGUUAGUUGCCUCUUCACAUUGCUGAGUGUUUCUUUUGCAGUGCAGAAGCUUCUCUGUUUGUUGUUGUUUUCCUCUUCUAUCCCUUUCUUUAAUCAUGUGUGAUUCUCAGAUAUUGAACAUCCUUGGUUAAAUUUAUUCCAAGCAUUUUAUUUAUUCUGUAAUUAUGUGGACAGGAUUGGUCUCAGAAGUUCUUUCUCAGCCAUGACCUUGUUUGUGUAUAAAAAGGCUAUUGAUUUUCUGUCCUGCCAUUUUACCAACCUCUAGUCUUUGUUUCAAUAGUGGAAUCUUUUGGAUCUCAUGUAUAUAGAAUCAUGUCAUCUGCAAAUAGGGAUAGUUGGACUUCCUCCCUACCAAUUUUUAUCUAACACUGAGAAAUGAGUGGGAAAGUACCAACAUGAUAACAUGCUCAUGGAAAAAGUCAGAUGCUAUCUUUCUGUAUUCUCUCUUGCUUUGUGGAAGACAUGAUUUGUCCUGUUUCAAACAUGAUCCAUACAUUAAAUGCAGGGCUAGACUGUGGAAGGUGGGUAUUGGGAAGUAGACCUGUUCAGUGGAGAACUGUGUAGAUCACAGGUGUUUCAACUCCUUGUGUGAGUGGGUACAUAAGUGUUGAAUAAAUAAAUUACAAAGAUUUCCUGGUGUGUAAGUCAGAGGUAAACCACACAGAAUGUUUUAAGGAAGAAGACAAUGAAUGGUUACCUGAAUGUUUUCUAAGACGGAGUUAAAUACUUUUUCAAAUUCUGUGUUAAUAGGGUAUUUAAUGCAUACAGUUGCAAAUUUGACAUAGCUCUAGUAGAUGGCCUUGAUGUAGUAUUUCAUUUAUAGCUAUAUCUCCCUUUUUAAAAAUUUUUACUUCUUCUCAAAUAUCUUGUUAUUUGAAAUUCAUAGUUAUACACAGAGAGGAUAAGAUGCAGAGAGAGAAAGAGAAAGAGAGAGAGAGAGAGAGAGAGAGAGAGAGAGAGACAGAUAGGUUUUCCAUCUGCUUGUCCACUCCCUAGUUGGCUGCAAUGGCCAGAGCAGAGCGAAUCCAAAGCCGGGAUCCAGGAGCCUCCCCGGGAUCUCCUGCAUGGUUGCAGGGGCCCAAGGACUUGGGCCAUCUUGUACUGCUUUCCCAGACCACAGCAGAGAUCUUCAUCAGAGUGGAGCAGCCAGGACUCGAACCAGCGCCCAUAUGGGAAGCCAACACUGCAGGCAGUGGCUUUAUCUGCUACCCCACCGUGCCAGGCCCUCCCAGAAGCCAUUCCCCGUGUGAUCCAGCUGGCUGCUAACAUGACUCAGAAAGCAGACGGAGAUGGUCCAAGGUCUUAGGCCCCUGAACCCAGAAUUGAGCACUGGAUAAAGUCCGUGGCUCCUCUUCCCAGACCUUGAGCACUGAGAGGAACUGGAAUGUUGCUGUGUGACAGAGGCCUCCUGCAAUUUCUGUGAGCUGUACUGAGUCCCCAUGACUCUGCUUCAUGUUUCUUUGGUACUACACUUUCAGAACUGUACUGGCAAAUGACUUUGGGGACAGUCUGUUCUUGCUCUGUUGCUGCUCUGAGCCUUCAAUCAAGGUCCACACAAGGCCAAUGAUAGAAAUGUUGCAUCCAGAACAGCCCCCUUAUUACUAAGAUGACCUCCAGGCCCCAUAAAUGGAUCUUGGAUCAGAGGUCAAGACUUUCUGUGCAACUUGAACAUUUCCUGCCUUGGGAAGUUCACUGCCCCCACCCCCAGGACAUGUUCUGAGCUGCUUGGUCCUAGGUGUAGAGGCUCUGGCCGCUGGGAAUGUUGUACUGAGUUGACUUCUGAGUGUCCAGAUGCCAGAAAACAUGUAACAGAGUUCCGCAGAUCUGUGCGACCACUUGGAUAUCCAACUGUGAUGGGAGGCACACAUGGUGGAUUUGUGAGUGCUACUUCAGGGUGGAGCUGAGUGCUUCCUGUGGGGAAUGUGGGAUCUUGCUGGGAUGCCAGGAUGGCACAGCAACCCAUGUUGCUCUGGUGGCUCUCGCUGAAUCUGUGUGUAGCUUAGAUGGUAAAACUGUGUCUUUUCACUAGUAUGGAGCAGACCCUCAGAAGGGUGGGGAGAUGGUCUUAUGAGAACUUAAUGCUGCCGGCGCCGCAGCUCAAUAGGCUAAUCCUCCACCUGCGGCGCCGGCACCCCAGGUUCUAGUCCCAGUCAGGGCGCCGGAUUCUGUCCCGGUUGCCCCUCUUCGAGGCCAGCUGUCUGCUAUGGCCCAGGAGUGUAGUGGAGGAUGGCUCAAGUCCUUGGGCCCUGCACCCGCAUGGGAUACCAGGAGAAGCACCUGGCUCCUGGCUUUGGAUCAGCGCAAUGUGCCGUCCACAGCGCGGCAACCAUUGGAGGGUGAACCAACGGCAAAAGGAAGACCUUUCUUUCUCUCUCUCUCUCCUCUCUCUCUCACUCUCACUCUUACUGUCCACUCUGCCUGUCAAAAAAAAAAAAAAAAGAACUUAAUGCUAGGGCUGGUGCUGUGACACAAUGGAUUAAAGAUUUGGUCUGCAGUUCUGGCAUCCCAUGUGGGUGCUAGUUCGUGUCCCAGCUGCUCCACUUCCGAUACAGCUCUCUGCUAUGUCCUGGGAAAGCAGCAGAAGAUGGCGCGAAUCCUUGGGCCCCAGCAUCCACAUGGGAGACCCAGAAGAAGAUUCUGGCUCCUGGCUUUGGAUCAGCUCAGCACUGGCCAUUGCAGUCAUUUGGGGAGUGAACCAGCUGUUGGAAGACCUCUUUCUCUCUCUCUCUGACUUUACCUCUCUAUGUAACUCUUUCAAAUAAAUAAAAUAAAUGCUUUUAAUGAAAGAAGUCAAUGAUAAUCUGUGCAUUUGUUUUAACUUGGAAAGGAAAUCUCAUUCCUCUGCUUCAAGUCAGCUUGCAAUUCAGGAACGGCAGCAUUUUUGUGCAUUUGGAGAAUCUCUAGGCUUCUUGUUUCUUCUCUACUGGCUUCUCCCUUGAAAUUAUCAUGUAGCAUCAUCCUUUGCUCUGUUAGGAUCCAUUUUUAAAACCAUGUUUUUUCUCUUCUUCAUGAGGAUACUUCAGAAAGUUUAUGGAAAAUGGAAUAAAAGAUAACUUUGUUUUGGUAUAAAAUUUUUUUGAAACUCAUGCAUUUUUUUGUAAUACAUAUUUUUCAUAUAAUGUUUGAAGAUCCCACGUGUAUCCUAACAAGUCUUUACAAAUCUUUAUUUUUUUUUUGACAGGCAGAGUGGACAGUGAGAGAGAGAGACAGAGAGAAAGGUCUUCCUUUACCGUUGGUUUACCCUCCAAUGCCGCUGAGGCCGGCGUGCUGUGGCCAGUGCACUGUGCCAAUCUGAAGCCAGGAGCCAGAUGUUUCUCUUGUUCUCCUGUGUGGGUACAGGACCCAAGGACUUGGGCCAUCCUCCAUUGUACCCCUAGGCCACAGCAGAGAGCUGGACUGGAAGAGGGGCAACCGGGACAGAAUCUGGUGCCCCAACUGGAACUAGAACCCGCAUUAUGGAGUUCUUCAUUGGAAUGUGUGCUAAGCCGUGGCACUAAGAAUAAGGAGGUGAGCAGCCAAGAACAACACUGCAGGAAGGGCCGGACUGCUGGUGUUGGGGAGUGGCAGUGGAUUCAACAGGACCCUCAGGUUUGACCAUCCUCACCUGGUGAGUCUUCUUGAAAUGUUUGUGCGUAUCAUAUGCCGGUCCUGGACACAGGCAGGGGACACAUGGGGCUUCAGAAGCCAGGGGGAAGGAAGAAAAAUUGUGUAUUAUAUUGUACGUUAUAAAUUAAAUACUAUAUUUUAUAUUAUAAAUUUUUAUUAUGUAAGUUUCAUAUCAUAUGUUCUAAAUAGAUUUUAAAUUGUGUUUUGUAAAACGUACAUGUGCUCGGAGGUAUCAUGUACAGUUCCAGGAGGUGUGAGCCUACCUGGCUGAAUUCUGAUGCCAGGAUGGGCGAACCAGCAGGUGAGUCAUCUUUUGGGUGGGCAAUUAAGAUGCCCAGUGACUGUGUUAAUUUCCAGGUCUCUUGUUUUAUUUUCUGGGUUUAUAGUUCUACUUAGUGUAUAGGAGCUGAGAAAAUGGAUCUGGUCAUCCAGAAAGGAAGUUCCUGCUCGCAGGAUUUGCUUCCUGUUUUUCCUAAUUUGCUAAGAUAAUUUAUCUCAAUUUGCAUUGAAGGUUCUGCCACACAGCAGUGAUAGCAUUGAGUGGUAAACCCAAAAAGAUGGUUGUAUAUUGUUAUUGUUGCCCCACUGAAAUCUGAUUCUGCCUCUGUGCUAUCCAGUGUUUCCCUAAUUUUUUGAAAAAGUUCCUGAGGAUUACAUUGUUAUAUUGUGUUAAUGAAUGUGGUUAUGUGGGGAGACAUAUCAUGUAAAAUUUACAUGUCCCAGUCAUAUUAUUGCAUUGACUAGGAGUAUGGGGACUCUGUUUAUCAUCAGAAGCACCUAGAUCAGAGGAUGGCACCAAAAUUUUUAGAAGUCAGCAUUACUUCCUAAGUAUAUUUGUUGCAGUUAUAAAACUAUAAGGUUCUGAAUAACUCAGUACAGGUUCUUUUACUUCUAAAUUAGAUUUUGAAAUAUGAAGUAUUGAAAUCAUUUGGAUUAUGAUAUGUCGCUCCCCAUCUUCGUGGAGGAACGACACAGGACCCUGCGUUGUUCUUUCGUCUGCUCAGCCCUCCCUGGGUUUGCUGCUGGUUCUUCCCGGGUUGGCUACCGUCCCUUCCACCUCCAUGGAAGGGCGGUUCCCCCUGCCACUUUCCCCACUUCCGCGGGGGAGUGGCACACCGCCGGCCGGCUCUCUCGGGGGCUGCACAGGUGUUCCUUCAGAUAGAUGUUCCUCUUAGAUGUUCCUGGUGCAUGCCGUCUCUCUCCUCCUUUAUAGUCCUCUUCCACCAAUCCCAACUCCGCUACCCACACGCUGAGUACGCUGCUCUCCUCCAAUCAGGAGCAGGUCCUACAGUUUAUUGGUUGAACUGGAGGCAGCUAUGUAGAAGCUGUUUCCUCCUCUCCCAGCGCCAUAUUGUGGGAGAGCAGAUGCAUAGAAUAAGUCUUAAUUCCAGUAACAGUCUAGUCUGAGUUGCUCCCCACAAUGAUAUGUUUAGAGAAUUUUUAGGUCUGAGAAGGCAGGGGCAUUGUUUCAGUACAGUAUCCACAAUGGUUGCCACGUAAUUGGUUCUAAAAUUUCAGUUGAUGAAAUGAAAUCCCUAUUUGUCCCUGUGUUUUAAACAACACAAAAUUUAAAAAUCCAUAGGUAUUGUGUUUUGUGGUUUGGUUCUUACAGUAUGUGGUGAAUUAUGUCUCCCUUCCUUCUGGUUAGCAGUUACUAGUGUUGGCACCCAAGGGUCAUUCCUUGAACCUCAUCUUAUGAGAUGCUGACCAGUGACUACUCAGAAACCACCCCUUGGUGCAAGUCCUCAUGGAUGUUCCAGUUUCCUCAUUAUCCACUCUUGGUGUUCCUUUUAGUCCUGAUUGUUCAAAUCUAGAAGUUGAAAUGACUCCAUAUUAAGUCUAACUGUUGUUCACACUGUUCUCAUCCUAGAUAGCCUUAUCUCUAUACCGUGUUUCAGGAAGGCCUUGGCUUUUUCUCCCAUCAUUAGCUAGACCUGUUUAUAUUGCCUAUGGUUUUCUCCUUUUGGCUAUUUUCAAACUUGAUUCCUUGAUUCCAUAAUUCCUUUCCCUCACACACAACACACCAAGAAAAAUCUGUUCUUUUGUUUUCUCAUGCUCCCAAUCCACAGAUGUUCUCUGAUAACAAUCACCAGGCAUCUCAAAGGCUGGCUGGUCCCUACACCCUUCUCAAAGCCACAGGAAUGUGUGAUUCUUUUGCUUUUUGCUUUUAUGUCUCAAUUCCGUCACCUUUUCCACACCUCUGCUCCUGUGACCACCAUUAAACUUUAGCAUCUCCCACAAAAAUCCUAGGCUAGCAAUUUCUAGUGUACUACUAAGAAGUUGUUAAAAUAUAGAAGCUUUCUGGGGAAAUUCCAAAAUUAGAGUGGUUUAUGCCAAACAUCUUAAGAUGCUUUUCCUCUGUUUAACGAAAGUCACAUAUGUGGGGGAAAACUAGAUGGAGAGUUUGCUACAAACAAUGCCUUUGUUUCACCUUUAUACAAUUUUGUUUGUGAGUUAUGUAGGCCUCAGUGAUUAUGAAUGGGAAAACUAAAACUGACUUGCAGUUCAACAUUGGAAAUAUUUUGAAGCUUUCUACUGAAGUGCUGUAGUGUGAGAACAGGCAUGGAGUCCAGGAGAUCCUUCAAUGGAUUGGUAUAUGUGUAGUUUUCAGAAUGCUGCUUUCAAAGACAUUUAAACUUUGUAAGCAUUAUCUUACAUAUGAUGUUAAAUUUCAAAUUGCUGCUUCAGCAAACAUUGAGCUUUAUGUGAUUGGUAACCUCUCCUACACUAAUGAAUCUCCUUGCUUGAUUUCCUCCCUGAUUACUGUGGAAGAUUGUCGCGUCCCUCAACCAGCAAAGAAGACACAACCCGAACUCUUCUUCAAGCAGUUUAUUCAGGAACCUUGAACAAGCUUCUUCUUCCGCCUCCUUCCCUCUCCCAUCCCUCUUAUAGCCAUCAGCACACCAAUCAAAAGCAGCCAAGUGGCAAGGAUUGAUAGGUACAGCAAUGUGGAAGCCAGAAGGGAGCUCAACCAUCUUAUUAGGAGUUGUUUGUUUCUCGCCAGUCCUUCCAGGAGAAAGGAGCCGGCGCCAUCUUUAGGGCACAGUGCAAUGGCUCCCCACAGUUCCCCCUUUUUGUUUUAGAACCAGGCAUCUAAGGAUUACAGGAGAAGGUAGGGGUUUGUCCCCCACUGCCAGGCAUCCACCUGGAACAGCAUCCUUUUCGCGGGGGUGGGAUCUGGGAUGCCAACCCACAUGCAGACAGACUUGCCUUCCAGAGAACGUAAUGGCUCGUUCUCUCUGCAGUGCUUUGCCUCGCACCCUGCACCCAUGCCUAGCAUUCAAGGAAGGCCAGCCAUGCUUGAGGCGAUUGUCCAGCCUCAAGGGCAUAAAAGGCUUGAGCUAUCAUGGCCAAUUCCCGCCGAUGAGCUGUCCUCAUCCUGCACAAACACCACAGGCAAAAUAACACAACAAGUAACAGCAACCCCGUCAAAGCUCCAAGUCCCGCCCACUCCUUCAGGUUGGAGAUGGCUGUGCGGAUCCAGGAUGACAAUCCAGAUGGGAAGGAGACAUCCACACGUGUGGAGUUGAUGGUGACCACAGCAAGGCGCAGUUGCUUCAAGGUGUAGUCAAAUUCUGCGGACCAAUUCUGCAAGAGCAUCUGAGACAACUGUUUAGAGUAAUUUGCUUCCUGAGUCAUGUUAUCGUACUGAACAGAGGUCACACACAACCCUGAAAAUUUCCACUCACAUCCUAGCUGAGCAAGCUGCCAGAGUAUCCACCUGCUCCUGUACCAAAUCCACACGCUGAUUAACAAUCAUCAAGCCUCCCUUUAUUUGUGCAUUUAAGGAUGUCUGAGUAUCCAAAGCAGCAGCCACAGAGGCCGUUAAAUUAUUCAGGGUAUUAGCAGUUUGAAUUGUCCCUGUGAGCGCUAUAGCAGCUGUUAUAGCGCCCACAGCUGCAAUGGAAAUGGCAGUUAUAAUGGCUGCAGUAAUGAUCCCAAUCAGCAAUGUUAUCAUAAUGAAGAUUGAGGGGCUGCUUUGUGACAUUGUCUGUUUGCCGCACCAGUCGCUCAGGUAACCAUCGAGAAUAUAGAAACAUGUCCACGUCCCCAUAUUAAAACAGGGUCAGGUCCAUACCAUUGAGCAGUUAGAGGGUCUUUCCACUUCACAUAGACUUGUUGUCUUUUGGUUUCAGGAUGCCAGUGACGAUCAGCUGCAGUUUUCCCUUGAUUAUCCAGUAUUAGAGAAUUUAAAAUGAAAAGAGCAUGUGAUAGCCAUUUUUGUGGGGAAUAUGCCAUGGUCCCGUAUUCCCCCUUUUUUAUUUUUUGUAAAUAAUUUUUUAAUGUGGCAUGUGCUCGUUCCACAAUACCUUGUCCCUGGGGAUUAUAAGGAAUCCUGGUGAUGAGAGAUGUGGAAGUUAGUACAGAAGUGCUUAAAAGAGUUGGAAGUAUAUGCUGGGCCAUUAUUAGUUUUUAUCUGUAUAGGGGUUCCUAGAACAGCAAAGGCCUGAAGGCAAUGAGAGAUGUUUGGCAGCCUCGCCGCAUUGCGGGGUGGCAAAAACAAAACCUGAACAUGUAUCUAAAGAAACAUGUAUGUAUUUUAGUUUACCAAAUUCAGAAAAAUGGGUAACAUCCAUCUGCCAAAGCUGAUUAGGCAUAAAACCUCUAGGAUUUACACCAUAAUAAGGGACCGGGAGAAAUGUGACACAGGAAGGGCAGGAUUUUACAAUUUGCCUUGCCUGUUCCGGGUGAUUCAGUAUCUUACUGGUAAGGUUUGGACAUUGAGGUGAUGCAAAUCAUGACCAUGGGAUGCUUCUUAGACUUUGUCAGUCCCUCUUUAAAGGAUCUGGCUUCUGAGCCAGAGACUGGAGCAGCUAGAAAGAAACUCGUUUAUAACUGAAGUUUAGCAUCAUUUCACAUCUUGGCACCACUUUUAAUCUAAACAGCCCGAUUGGUUAUUAUCUCUGCAAGAUGAGAGAUAUAUCUUUUGACAUCUCCAGGGGCCCUCUGGAGAUACCAAAAGUCCAGAGAAUUUAGAACUUUGCUUUUCAGAAAGUCUGUUAAAGGUGCCAAGAGAACUUAGAGUAUCUGGUCAAAAUAGAAUUCCUUAGCAUUUAGUCAGGGCGAUUUUAACACUUUUAGACCAGAUCUGAUCAUAAUAAUAUUCAGCAUAACUUUUUAAGACUUAAUACUUUUUAUCAAUCAUAACUUAAUAGACAGUAGUGUUAAAAAGAGACGUUACAGUUUUUGCAACAACAGAUUUUAAGAUUUACAAUUGAGACCAUUUCCAGAUAAUUACUAACAUUAGUACACAUUUUUUUUUUAACUUUUAUUUAAUGAAUAUACGUUUCCAAAGUACGAAUAAUGGAUUACUAUGGCUUCCCCCCCAUACCGUCCCUCCCACCCACAACCCUCCCCUUUCCCACUCCCUCUCCCCUUCCAUUCACAUCAAGAUUCAUUUUCGAUUAUCUUAAUAUACAGAAGAUCAGCUUAGUAUACAUUAAGUAAGGAUUUCAACAGUUUGCUCCCACACAGAAACAUAAAGUGAAAAAUAAUAGAUGAUUUUUUUUAAUGAUGAUGAAAUCAGAUCAGACCUAUUGUCAUGUUUAAUCCCAGUGAGAGUCAAGUUGGGUGUUGAUAGUUUCUUUUUUUUUUUUUUUUUUACAGAGGAUCAGUUUAGUAUGCAUUAAGUAAAGAUUUCAACAGUUUGCACCCCCAUAGAAACACAAAGUGAAAUAUAUUAUUUGAGUACUCGUUAUAGCAUUAAAUCUCAAUGCACAGCACAUUAAGGACAGAGAUCCUACAUGAGGAGUAAGUGCACAGUGACUCCUGUUGUUGACUUUACCAAUUGACACUCCUGUCUAUGGCAUCAGUAAUCUCCCUAUGCUCCAGUCAUGAGUUUCCAAGGCUAUGGAAGCCCCUUGAGUUCUCUGACUCUUAUCUUGUUUAGACAAGGUCAUAGUCAAAGUGGAGGUUCUCUCCUCCCUUCAGAGAAAGGUACCUCCUUCUUUGAAGACCUGUUCUUUCCACUGGGAUCUCACUCACAGAGAUCUUUUGCCAGAGUGUCUUGGCUUUCCAUGCCUGAAAUACUCUCAUGGGCUUUUCAGCCAGAUCUGAAUGCCUUUAGGGCUGAUUCUGAGGCCAGAGUGCUAUUUAGGGCAUCUGCCAUUCUAUGAGUCUGCUGAGUAUCUCACUUCCCAUGUUGGAUCACUCUCCCCUUUAUUUAUUCUAUCGGUUAGUGUUAGCAGGUACUAGACU